AUGUCAAAAGUCCACAUAGACACAUUUACAAACAAUAAGCCAUUUCUUGCGUAUAUAUUCUAUAUAUUAUUUUGUUAAAAGCUGCUCGACCUUGGCUCACGUAAAUAUUUCGUCACAUGUAACAAUCCCUCGCCUCCAUAAUAUCAUUCCUCUUAGUGUGAGGUUUCCGGUUUGGUUGCACGCUUUUCUUGAUAUUGAGUUCCCCCUUUCGGUUAUAAACAUGAACAGCAACGUUUAACCGAGAGGUUCACCGGGGGACACGCACACCGUCUGCCCUACAUAAAAUGCACCCAUUGUAGGCCGAGGUGUCAGCUGAGGACGACUUGCAACCUAGAAACGUCGGUUUGGCCCCUCCUUCCCUUUGUCAGUCCUAUUGUAAACGUUAGUCCGGGGUCUUCUGAGGUAUUCUUAUUUCCAAAAACAGAUACUAAAAUUGGCAUUAACUGCAGAAGCGGCGUUUCAACCAUGCGAACGGAGUUUUCUUCUUUUCAACAAACCUUUUUGAGACCCCUCACGAUUUUAUCAAAGGCGUUGUCUCGGGGAACUGUGCCCAAUGACAUCAUCCCCGCCUUUUGUAUACAGUUGCUAGGGGUUACAGGGUGACAUUUCAAACAGUCCUGCUCUAGAUGUGUUCGGGAUACGCGAUUCAGUUUCUGUAUUAAUACAAAACGGACUACACACAAAGUUUAGUAUUUAUUUUGAACAGAUGUAAUGCACUUGAAAUCCUUUCUUAAAGAGCGAACGCUUACUAUGCUAUUUGAGUAAUAAUACUGCGAGAAAGUACACUUACCCUUUGUGUAUAUCUUUUUUUUCCUAGGCUAUACUACAACAGUAUAAACUUUAAAACUUUGUGAGAUGGCAGAUUCUGGUCUAUCAGAAAAGCACUUAUCACCGAGAGUGUGGAGACCAUUCGUACUACCUCAGUGUUCACGGACCCUUAUGAACGCUCUGUUAACUAUAUGGAGACUCACAGUAUUCUUCAGAUUUUUCAGGACAUCACAGAGAAAUUGGUUUUUAAUAGACCAGACGAUCCACUUCAGUUUAUGUUAGAACAGGUGCAAAUGAAGAUCAAAGUCCGUGAUGAGUCAAGCAACACAUUUGUGAAAUCAUGAUGAAUUCUAAAGCAAAGUAACAAGGGCUUUGCAACAAAUGGAAUCCAAGGUUAUUCUUUUAUUUAUACAAUUCUUUAAAUAAGGUAUUGGAUGCUGUCAUCCCGUGACUCUGCAUUGUUGUUUCCAAGCAACUGUCUUCAGAUGUUCUUUUUUUUUUUUUGUUCCAAAUUUACCAUGUUUUGCCACAAUUUUGAGACCGUAUUAGCAUUCAUUUUCAGUCAAACAGUGCUGAAAUAUUAAUAAUGUAGUUCGUGAGGGUCUUUGACCUAAAUAUCUCAAUGAACACACUUAAGUGGCAAGUUAGAGCUAUUAAAUGUGGCAAAAAAAAAAAAAUACAUUUAACAGAGGAAUUACUGACAGGCUUUCUCUGUAUUUUGGAGACACAGAAUCUGAGAAUUAUAAUUGUUACUGUUUUAUGAAUUAACUAUGUUUUAUAAGAUAACACAACUUCUGUAUAAGACAUGUAUGUAUAAUACAUUAUGCAAGUCUUCUCCAAAUAAAUAAAUCAAUAAAAUGCUAGCUAGACAAAUGUAGCUGGCUUUGGCGCUGUACUUGAAUUUCAAUGGUAGAUUUUGGCUAUGCGAGUAAAGGAAGUCUUUGUUUAUAGUAGGGUCUUAUUACAGUGUAUUUCUAUAGUUAUCUACUGUAUAUUUACUCUAGAUCAACAUCUGGUGUUUUAAGAACGGUAUAUCACAUGCAGUCAUUUCAUUUGUAAAUAAAAAUAAGUUCAAAAUAACUUCACAGUUACAUUGUCUAUUUGCAUUUAUUGCAUGUGUAUUUCUUUUAGCUUUGGGGUAAAAGUGUGUCAGUGGCUUAUCUAGUAAUAAUUGAGCAUUGCCUCCAACUAUGGGAAAUGCUAUAACUACAGCAAAUACUCUUAAAAUGUUGAAAUUUGUUUUUCACUAUAAAUAUUAUGAAUAUUAAAGUAUUUCCUAGCUAGUUUAUGUAAUUGUGAAUAUUGUUCUGCAACAUACCAUGAACGUGAUUCUUAUUCUCAUAGACAGUAUAUGCCCACUGUUAAAUUUCAAAUGUAAAUUGUUCUGUAUUCCCCAGUGACUCAACUUACCCUUGACAUGACACAGCUACAACAUGAGG